rnacentral:sRNA from 1 species
AAAUAAACCUGAUAGAAAUGGAAAUUUUUUUUGUUGUCAUGAGCGUAGUCGAAGAGCAACAAAAAGAUUGGAAUGAAUAGCAGGACUAAAG